rnacentral:rRNA from 1 species
GAUGAACGCUGGCGGCGUGCCUAAUACAUGCAAGUCGAGCGAACAGACGAGGAGCUUGCUCCUUCGACGUUAGCGGCGGACGGGUGAGUAACACGUAGGUAACCUACCUAUAAGACUGGGAUAACUUCGGGAAACCGGAGCUAAUACCGGAUAAUAUUUCGAACCGCAUGGUUCGAUAGUGAAAGAUGGCUUUGCUAUCACUUAUAGAUGGACCUGCGCCGUAUUAGCUAGUUGGUAAGGUAACGGCAUACCAAGGCAACGAUACGUAGCCGACCUGAGAGGGUGAUCGGCCACACUGGAACUGAGACACGGUCCAGACUCCUACGGGAGGCAGCAGUAGGGAAUCUUCCGCAAUGGGCGAAAGCCUGACGGAGCAACGCCGCGUGAGUGAUGAAGGUCUUCGGAUCGUAAAACUCUGUUAUUAGGGAAGAACAAACGUGUAAGUAACUGUGCACGUCUUGACGGUACCUAAUCAGAAAGCCACGGCUAACUACGUG